rnacentral:rRNA from 1 species
UCUUAAGAUUAUGCCAUGAAUAUCUAAGUAUAAGCAAUUAUACAGCGAAACUGCGAAUGGCUCAUUAAAUCAGUUAUCGUUUAUUUGAUAGUACCUUACUACAUGGAUAACCGUGGUAAUUCUAGAGCUAAUACAUGCUGAAAACCCCGACUUCGGAAGGGGUGUAUUUAUUAGAUUAAAAACCAAUGCCCUCCGGGGCUCACUGGUGAUUCAUGAUAACUUCUCGAAUCGCACGGCCUUGCGCCGGCGAUGGUUCAUUCAAAUUUCUGCCCUAUCAACUUUCGACGGCUGGGUCUUGGCCAGCCGUGGUGACAACGGGUAACGGAGGGUUAGGGCUCGACCCCGGAGAAAACGCCUGAGAAACGGCGUUUACAUCCAAGGAAGGCAGCAGGCGCGCAAAUUACCCAAUGCCGACACGGCGAGGUAGUGACGAGAAAUACUGAUACAGGGCUCUUUUGGGUCUUGUAAUUGGAAUGAGUACAAUUUAAAUCUCUUAACGAGGAACAAUUGGAGGGCAAGUCUGGUGCCAGCAGCCGCGGUAAUUCCAGCUCCAAUAGCGUAUAUUAAAGUUGUUGCAGUUAAAAAGCUCGUAGUUGAACCUUGGGCCUGGCUGGCCGGUCCGCCUCACCGCGUGCACUGGUCCGGCCGGGCCUUUCCCUCUGGGGAGCCCCAUGCCCUUUACUGGGCGUGGUGGGGAACCAGGACUUUUACUUUGAAAAAAUUAGAGUGUUCAAAGCAGGCCUAUGCUCGAAUACAUUAGCAUGGAAUAAUAGAAUAGGACGUGUGGUUCUAUUUUGUUGGUUUCUAGGACCGCCGUAAUGAUUAAUAGGGACAGUCGGGGGCGUCAGUAUUCAAUUGUCAGAGGUGAAAUUCUUGGAUUUAUUGAAGACUAACUACUGCGAAAGCAUUCGUCAAGGAUGUUUUCAUUAAUCAGGAACG